AGAGUUUGAUCCUGGCUCAGGAUGAGCGCUGGCGGCGUGCUUAACACAUGCAAGUCGAACGAACCUUCGGGUUAGUGGCGGACGGGUGAGUAACGCGUGAGAAUCUGCCCUCAGGAGGGGGAUAACGGCUGGAAACGGCCGCUAAUACCCCAUAUGCCGAGAGGUGAAAUGAAUUUCGCCUGAGGAUGAGCUCGCGUCUGAUUAGCUAGUUGGUGGGGUAAGAGCCUACCAAGGCAUCGAUCAGUAGCUGGUCUGAGAGGAUGAUCAGCCACACUGGGACUGAGACACGGCCCAGACUCCUACGGGAGGCAGCAGUGGGGAAUUUUCCGCAAUGGGCGAAAGCCUGACGGAGCAACGCCGCGUGAGGGAUGAAGGCCUCUGGGCUGUAAACCUCUUUUAUCAAGGAAGAAGAUCUGACGGUACUUGAUGAAUAAGCCACGGCUAAUUCCGUGCCAGCAGCCGCGGUAAUACGGGAGUGGCAAGCGUUAUCCGGAAUUAUUGGGCGUAAAGCGUCCGCAGGCGGCCUGAUAAGUCUGUUGUCAAAGCGUGGAGCUUAACUCCAUUUCGGCAAUGGAAACUGUGAGGCUUGAGUGUGGUAGGGGCAGAGGGAAUUCCCGGUGUAGCGGUGAAAUGCGUAGAUAUCGGGAAGAACACCAGUGGCGAAGGCGCUCUGCUGGGCCAUAACUGACGCUCAUGGACGAAAGCCAGGGGAGCGAAAGGGAUUAGAUACCCCUGUAGUCCUGGCCGUAAACGAUGAACACUAGGUGUCGGGGGAAUCGACCCCCUCGGUGUCGUAGCCAACGCGUUAAGUGUUCCGCCUGGGGAGUACGCACGCAAGUGUGAAACUCAAAGGAAUUGACGGGGGCCCGCACAAGCGGUGGAGUAUGUGGUUUAAUUCGAUGCAACGCGAAGAACCUUACCAGGGUUUGACAUCCUGCGAAUCCCUUGGAAACUUGGGAGUGCCUUCGGGAGCGCAGAGACAGGUGGUGCAUGGCUGUCGUCAGCUCGCGUCGUGAGAUGUUGGGUUAAGUCCCGCAACGAGCGCAACCCACGUCUUUAGUUGCCAGCAUUGAGUUGGGCACUCUAGAGAGACCGCCGGUGAUAAACCGGAGGAAGGUGUGGAUGACGUCAAGUCAUCAUGCCCCUUACAUCCUGGGCUACACACGUACUACAAUGCUACGGACAAAGGGCAGCAAACUCGCGAGAGCUAGCAAAUCCCAUAAACCGUGGCUCAGUUCAGAUCGUAGGCUGCAACUCGCCUACGUGAAGGAGGAAUCGCUAGUAAUCGCAGGUCAGCAUACUGCGGUGAAUACGUUCCCGGGCCUUGUACACACCGCCCGUCACACCAUGGAAGUUGGCCACGCCCGAAGCCGUUACUCCAACCCUUGUGGAGGAGGACGUCGAAGGUGGGGCUGAUGACUGGGGUGAAGUCGUAACAAG
rnacentral:rRNA from 1 species